GGCCCCGUCGCCUAGCCAGGACAGGGCGCCGGCCUUCUAAGCCCUACGGAUUCGAGGAUAGCCGGUAGUCCCGGGUUCAAAUCCCGGCGGGGCCG
rnacentral:tRNA from 1 species